rnacentral:tRNA from 2 species
GACUAGGUAGCAUAGUGGUUAUGCAAAAGAUUGCAAAUCUUUAUUAGGUUAGUUCGAAUCUAACCCUAGUUU